GGGCUGGGGCUCAGUGGUAGAGAGCUUGCCUGGCAUGUGGGGGACACUGAGUUCAAUUCUCAGCACCACA
rnacentral:tRNA from 1 species